rnacentral:rRNA from 1 species
AACGAACGCUGGCGGCAUGCCUAACACAUGCAAGUCGAACGAGACCUUCGUGUCUAGUUGCGCACGGGUGCGUAACGCGGGGGAACCUGCCCGUAGGUUCCGAAUAACUCCCCGACAGGGGUGCUAAUACCGGGUAAUGUAUUCGGACCAAAGAUUUAUCGCCUUUGGAUGGGCCCGGGUUGGAUUAGCUAGUUGGUAGGGUAAAAGCCUACCAAGGCGACGAUCCAUAGCUGGUCUGAGAGGAUGAUCAGCCACACUGGGACUGAGACACGGCCCAGACUCCUACGGGAGGCAGCAGUGGGGAAUAUUGGAAAAUGGGCGAAAGCAUGAUCCAGCAAUGCCGCGUGAGUGAUGAAGGCGGUAGGGUUGUAAAGCUCUUUUACCCGGGAUGAUAAUGACAGUACCGGGAGAAUAAGCGCCGGCUAACUCCGUG